GGGCGUGUGGUCUAGUGGUAUGAUUCUCGCUUUGGGUUGUUUAACACAAGUAUGCGAGAGGCCCUGGGUUCAAUUCCCAGCUCGCCCC
rnacentral:tRNA from 1 species